UGUUUUUCUAAGGUUCUCCGUCUUCUUCCUCUUGCGGAAAAGAGCUCGCCGAACAGCAGCUAACCACCCCUUUUACUUCCCGUAAUGUCUCUUAGCUUCUUUAAUCCGUCAUUUACUUUGAAUGUUUCCUAGACUAAUCCACUCCUCCUUCAUUAAGAUUACGAUCUACCUCUUCGUUUCCUCUGAAACUUCUGAAUCUCCACCUAUGUAUAUCGCCCCUUCUACCAUGCGAACUCACACCAUAUUCGAAAACAAGCAACUUUCAAGCAACUUCACAGCUUCACAGCUCCCAGUUGAAGGCUGCCGCUGUAGACAUGUGGUUCAAACGAGACUCCUGGGUUUUUGUGAGGCUCGGAAUGUCAAAAAAGGAGAUCAAUUGAUGGGCAUCAGCUGCUUGAUUCCAAGGUUAACCCCCAAAGCUGGAAGCAUUUUAGGUGAUCAGUUUGUUUGUGAAAGUUCCAACCAAAGGCAUAAGCGGCAAGGAACCUGUAAUAUGGAUGGUUUUUUGAGAGGUGAUGCCCGAACGAAGCAUUGUAGGUUGGAUUCCUAAGCAUGGGAAGUGAAAUAUGAAGUGUCUUAGAGGAUCCACAUUUAUUUCAAGUCGAAUAGAGCUAGAAUUUUUAAACUCGAAAAUCUCAAACCCUAAUAGAUUUUAACUGAAUUCGAAUGGAUACCCAAGUACCCACCACUACCUUAGUCAAUGUAAAACGAUCAAAUAUUACAAAUACAUUAUUUAGUAUAAAUAAAUAAAAACUAAAACUGAAAAUUAAUACCCGUGCGGUCGCACGGAUCAAGAUCUAGUCUAUAUUAUUAAAAGAGAAGUACCAUUUAAAAUUAAUCCUUAAUUUUCACACUAAUUUACACUAUUGUGCCAUUGAAAAUUAAAUAAUACUACAUAUUUUAAUGUUUUGUUUUUUCCACUUAGACUAAUGUGUUUUCCUAAAUUAAAUUUGUAUUAAAUACACUUCAUUCACUUCUCCACUAAAUCAAUGUCCAAAGUAUUUAUUUUUAUCAGCUUCAGAAAAAAUACAUUUUAUUGGACAAAGAAUUCAUGGAAAUUAUAAUAUCAACUCUUCAUAUAACAAAUCUAAACAAAAAAGUAGGGGUGCUUCCAAAACCAAACUACAAAUUCAAGUCAACCCCAAAACCAACCUUCUUUUUUUGUCAUUACUAUUCACCAUUGAAAGUUCCUAUUCAUCCCUAUGUUUUUGAAAUAUUUACAGAAUUGCCAUUAUUAAUUAAUUUUGUAAUUAUUUCGAAAAUUCUAAAAAACCUACAACACCCUAAAAAUAUCUUCUUAUUUACAACCAUGCCAUUAUCAUCAAUUCUUCGACCACCAUUAACAACCAUUUUUUAGCUCUUUUCACCUCUAGAAUUCAAUUCUCAACCAUUUUUUGUGUUUCUAAACAAACAAAUCUUCAUUUCCUCUAAUUUUCUCUCCAUUUUCAUCUAAAAAAACUCCUAUAACUUUCAUUUUUAUAGGCACAAUUUCAAAAUUUCUAGUGUGUUCUCUUGUUCGUCUUCAAAGUUCCCUCUUUUUGCUCAUAUUUGGAGUUUGGACAGUGGAAAAAGGUGGAAACGAGUUUCACACCGCAAAAAGGUAACUAUUCACAUGGUUUUCGUCAUUUUUCAGAUCUGUGUCGCGAAAGUAGAUUGUUUUAUAUGUCUACGGGUAGUUGUAGACUUACGUUGCGGUCUACAGGUCAACGCACAAGUUA